rnacentral:rRNA from 1 species
CAGUCGCCACGGUAAUACGGAGGGUGCAAGCGUUAAUCGGAAUUACUGGGCGUAAAGCGCACGCAGGCGGUCUGACAAGUCAGAUGUGAAAUCCCCGGGCUUAACCUGGGAACUGCAUUUGAAACUGUCAGGCUGGAGUCUUGUAGAGGGGGGUGGAAUUCCAGGUGUAGCGGUGAAAUGCGUAGAGAUCUGGAGGAAUACCGGUGGCGAAGGCGGCCCCCUGGACAAAGACUGACGCUCAGGUGCGAAAGCGUGGGGAGCAAACAGGAUUAGAUACCCGGUAGUCCCUGUCUCUUAUACA